rnacentral:pre_miRNA from 1 species
CUACUACUCCCUCCAUCCGAAAAUACUUGUCAUUGAAAUGGAUGUAUCUAGAUGUAUUUUAGUUCUAGACACAUCCAUUUUGAUGACAAGUAAUUCCGGACGGAGGGAGUAUUAU